AGUGAACGCUGGCGGUAGGCCUAACACAUGCAAGUCGAACGGCAGCACAGUAAGAGCUUGCUCUUACGGGUGGCGAGUGGCGGACGGGUGAGGAAUACAUCGGAAUCUACUUUUUCGUGGGGGAUAACGUAGGGAAACGUCCGCUAAUACCGCAUACGACCUACGGGUGAAAGCAGGGGAUCUUCGGACCUUGCGCGAUUGAAUGAGCCGAUGUCGGAUUAGCUAGUUGGCGGGGUAAAGGCCCACCAAGGCGACGAUCCGUAGCUGGUCUGAGAGGAUGAUCAGCCACACUGGAACUGAGACACGGUCCAGACUCCUACGGGAGGCAGUAGUGGGGAAUAUUGGACAAUGGGCGCAAGCCUGAUCCAGCCAUACCGCGUGGGUGAAGAAGGCCUUCGGGUUGUAAAGCCCUUUUGUUGGGAAAGAAAAGCAGCAGGUUAAUACCCCGCUGUUCUGACGGUACCCAAAGAAUAAGCACCGGCUAACUUCGUG
rnacentral:rRNA from 1 species